rnacentral:lncRNA from 1 species
CUGAGUUCUUUCCAGAGAGGGACCUUGUAAGGCUGACUUUGGAAUAUGACUGCAUUCUGAUGGAGAGAUUUCCAGUUUAAGAUGCCAUACUGAACAUAUACACUGAUCUCUUUGCCUUUGGAAACUCCAUUAAGCUGAUUGUAAAGGAGGAAAAGGAUUCUCACAUGACAAUGAAGAGACUGAAGAAGUAUCAUCAAUGGAUAAAGCAGAAUAGAAAUAGCAGCCGCCUGGACCAUACCUAGAAAGGAAUCAUUUUGCCUGGCAGAAGCAUGAAACAGUUCCAUAUUUGAGAUGGCAUUUACCACUGAGGGAAAAAAAAAGUAUCAUGUGAAAGAAGCAAGAAUUGGACUGACCACACACUUGUCAUUGCCAAUCAGAUGCUGCAAAACAAUGGAUCUGUUUUUCAGAGUUCUGAAAUAAAAUGCUAAUCAAACUAGAAUCUGCUUAGCUAAGACACUGCCAAAUAUGAAGACCAAAUAAAAGAUUUUCAGAUGUGUCAUAAUUCAGAGUUUAUACUCCAAGCAUUCUUUUGUAGAAAGGAACUCAAGGGUGUAUUUCAGCAAAAUAAAGAAGUAAAGUACUAGAGCCAUCACUCAGAGAGCAAAUGACCAGACCAGAUGCUAACAACAAACAUUGUGUGACUUCCUAUCUCCAGCCACUUCUGAAGUCAGAUCUAUUUUCUUGAGUUGGAGGGCGGUGGCACGGUAUUGGCUCACUGCAACCUCCGUCUCCCAGGUUCAAGUGAUUCUCCUGCCUCAGCCUCCCAAGUAGCUGGGACUACAGGCAAGCACCACCAUGCCCAGCUAAUUUUUGUAUUUUUAGUAGAGACGGGGUUUCACCGUGUUGGCCAGGAUGGUCUCGAUCUCUUGACCUCGUGAUCUGCCUGCCUUGGCCUCCUAAAGUGCUGGGAUUACAGGCAUGAGCCACCACAUCUGGCUUAGUGAUUGAUUUUUUUUAAAGUGUGGUAGAAAUUUCAGUCUAAUACUGCCCUUGUUGCUCAAAAGAUUUUUGAAUAUUUCCUAUGAAAUGGCCCAGAGAGUACAAUAUGAAUUUUUUUCUUCAAUUUUUUUCUCAUUUAUUUCUUCUAGCAAAUUUCUGCUCUUUUGCAUUAAUAUCAUUUUUGAAAAUAGAUAAAAGUUAUGUAGUGCCAAACCCACUGAAUGAAAUGGUGAUAUGCUAUUACUAUUAUCUAGGGUCAAAUGUAAUAUCUCACUCUAAUUAUAUUAAUAUCUUUAUCUAUAUCUAGCUAGUUUUCCAUCUAUCUAGCUAGCUAGCUAGCUAGCUACUCAAUAUGUCAAUCUGUUUAAUAUGUCAAUAGUAUGCUCAGAAGGGCUUACAACUGAAGACAUUCCAAGACUUAGUGAGGAAGUGCAGCAUAACUGGAAUUUGAAUACACCUCCCAAGAGGGGAAAAAAAAUUCAUUUACAAAUGUGGGUUCUGGUGGUUUCUUAAAAAAAAAAACAUAAAAAAAAACUCUUCCUGCUUUUUUUAAGCUCCAUAUUUUACCUAGAUCAUAAGAUUCUAAACACUUGUAUUGCACGCAAAUAGGCAGAUUUUAUAAAAAGAAAAGUGUCAUUUUAAAGAAUUGGCUACGUUGGUCAAGUCAGAGCUCCCUAAGGGAUUUCUGUCCUCAAAGUCACAAUACAGUGAUUCUUUAUAAGAUACUCAAUGCUUGCUUUGGGAUUCUAAAGGGAACAUUAAUAUGUCUCGUAAAAAUAAGGAAUCCUUAAAUGAGUAAUUUGUGUACAACACUGCAGAUAGUGCCUGGCACAUAUGGUAUAUUUAGUAAAAGUUGGUUCCUUUUCCACUAAUCAUGUUUUGAGAAUUCAGUAUCCUCUAUAGUUUUAUUUUACCUUUAUCAGUGGUAACCUGCAUGUUUUGAACAGGAGCAGGUAUAGAAGUUCAGUAACAGGGGGGCAGGGGAGGGAGAGCAUCCAGAUAAAUAGCUAAUGCAUGCUGGGCUUAAUACCUAGGUGAUGGGUUGACAGGUGCAACAAACCACCAUGGCACACAUUUUACCUGUGUAACAAACCUGCACAUCCCACAAGUGUAUCCUGGAACUUAAAAAAAAUUAAACACAAUUUUUAAAAAAACAAGAAGUUCAGUAAUAUUGUCUUUUAUAGGAGAUAGAAAUUUUUGUUUCCG